CCUACGGGUGGCAGCAGUGAGGAAUAUUGGUCAAUGGGCGCGAGCCUGAACCAGCCAAGUCGCGUGAGGGAAGACGGCCCUACGGGUUGUAAACCUCUUUUGCCGGGGAGCAACGGGCGCCACGUGUGGCGCCACUGAGAGUACCCGGAGAAAAAGCAUCGGCAAACUCCGUGCCAGCAGCCACGGUACUACGGAGGAUGCGAGCGUUAUCCGGAUUUAUUGGGUUUAAGGGGUGCGUAGGCGGAGUGUUAAGUCAGGUGUCAAAUUGAGGGGCCCAACCCCUUCCCGCCAUUGAAACUGGCGCUCUUGAGUGGAAGAGAAGUAUGCGGAAUGCGUGGUGUAGCGGUGAAAUGCAUAGAUAUCACGCAGAACCCCGAUUGCGAAGGCAGCAUGCCGGCUUCCGACUGACGCUGAAGCACGAAAGCGUGGGGAUCGAACAGGAUUAGAUACCCUGGUAGUC
rnacentral:rRNA from 1 species